rnacentral:tRNA from 1 species
GUGCCCAUAGCUCAGCUGGAUAGAGUGCCUGACUACGAAUCAGGAGGUCGCAGGUUCGAAUCCUGCUGGGCACGCCA